rnacentral:tRNA from 1 species
GGGAAUGUGACCUAGUGGUAGAGUGCUUGCCUAGCAUGCAUGAAAUCCUGGGUUUGAUUCCUCAGUACUUUCA